GGGAAGGGUAUUUGUCUUGUGCCUUCUCAGGGAGAAAUCUGUUUCCUCCUGCAGCAUUGUCAUCGCCUCACAGCAGUUAUUGGUCUGAACUGGCAGGUUCUGCUCUUGAUUCUGGACCUAUGGAGAAGGGUCCUGAACUCCAAGAAUAGAUUAUCCAAUGGUACCCACCUUCCCUUGCAGUCCAGGAAUGAAUGUGUUACCCUGGCUUGACAGUGCUAUAUAGAGGUGUUAAAAUGACAGCUCUGGAGGCUGAAUCUCCUCUUUGCUCAGCAGUGGACAGAAGACUGGAUAAUCCUGUCUUUGCUUCAUUCAGUGUGUCUUGAAAUUUACCUGAUGCCUCAGUUCUUCUACGUGUCAACUUGUGGCUGCAAAGCCGGAUGGAGGAAGCACAUCCUGCAAUUUUACCACAGAGGACAAAAGAACAAAUGUCUCAAAUCAGAGAAGAACUGAGAGGCCACCGUUAUGCAUGGAGAUGAGGAAUGGCACAGCUGGAGUCAUGCAUACAGUUUCAGAUGGCACUAAAGUGUUUAUCCGGGGUUGGUGUGAGGGUGGAGGAAAGCACUGAUGUGACAUUUUUAUUACCCUGGUAAAUCCAUUCCUAGUCCUUUAGCCUUCUCCUUCCUUUAAAGACCCUGUUCAUCUAUUUAAAAUGAAUUGUAAAUCCUUUCCUGAAUUUGGGCUUGCAUCAGAAAUGGGCUAGGAGAAGAAAUUACUCAGUUCUGGGAGACAAACAAGACAGAGUCUGUCCCCCUUAAAAUUAGUUACUCUCUUCUUCUAAAAGCAGUAACAGUGUAUGAGUUGUCAUCUUGAUGUUCUUAGACUGUCAGUUUGGCACUAACUAAGCUACUAUUUAAGGCCAAUUUGCACAGGGGGUAAGAGACUUAUAAAAAUAAUCAACACUAGCUGCUUCCAUCAAUCAUUUUCCAGUGAAUUAUUUUCUGUUAAGUUCUUACUGAUAUUUAUAAUCAAUUUUAUCGUGGAUAUUUUUCAAUUUUUUAAAAAUAUUUUUUGUUCUGUAAAAUUUGCUUGCUAAAGACACUGUUUAAUUUCAGGUGAGGGCUCUGAGUCAUAGAUGCUUUUAUAAUCAGCUAAAAAGGAACAAAUGCACACCUCCAGAAUUGCAAAUUUCAAUACCUCUUCUGACAGUACAUGCAAGACAGUAUCAUUUUUGAAAGUAUUAUAGUAUUUCUAGAAUCAAAUAAAGAUCUUACUUGCACAUAUCUUAUUUUCUGUUCCAAAUAAUCUUCAAUCCACAGAGUAAUUUUGUCAUCCAUAAAAAAGGGAAAUUAAGAGAAACAUUAUAUGAUCCUAGCAUCUAUUAUGCAUCUUUUUAUAUGUUGAAGGCUUGCUGUAGGGUUUGCUUGUUUCCAAGGAAUGAAAAUUGCUUAUUAUCCUGGAUAAUGAAAGAGAAUGUCAUAAUCUAUAAUUCUUAGUUUAGGAUACUUACUGUACCCUUGUCUUAUAAAAGGGUUGGUAGAAAAAGAGUUCAGUAAAAGAAGCAGCUCUUAAAUAUUUUUUUUAAAUAAAAGAGGGAUUUGUUUGCAAGUGAGAUUUAUAUGUCUUUGGCAGCAAAAUACAUUGGAAAACCUUUCUUAAUUGGCAGAUCGUAACCUGGAUAUGAAUGCUAUUUACUGCAUACAAUUCAUGACUAUUAAAGUUAUUUUUUCAAUGAUCAUAGAAGUGUGCUUCUAUAUAUACACCUAAGUAUAUAAUUGUACCCACCUGUCUAUGUAUGAGUGUGUGGGUGUAAUUGUAUAUGCGCUUACACAGAGCUUUUGCAGUACCUAGACAUUUUUUCUAGUCUGCUCCUGUUUUGUUUCCCUGAUUAAAGUCUUGCAAGCUAAUCUCUAUAGCAUGAGAAGGUUUGCUUUAACACCCUCUGCCUAAAUAUGACAGUUCUGUAAACAGCAGCUGUAUGUGGUCAGUCACGAGAUCUGGAAAUCAAAACUAUAUGGGCCAUAGUCACAGCUCAUGAGACAAACAUGAUGUGCUGGAAAUUGACUGCCAGACAGCCUGGAUUUGAUAAGUUGCACUAGACUCUAUGUCAGACUUGCUACAGCAGUAGCAUUUCACACACACGCACAAAUGUUUAUACAAUCAAAAAAAAAAAAAAAAAGAAAAGAAGAAAGAAAAAAAAGAAAAAAAAAAGGAAAAAGGAAAAAAAAAAAGAAGAAAAAAAUAAACCUACUCCGAACUCUAUGAUUAAAAUUAUUCAACUAGAAGGACAUUCUUAGGAAUAAAUUUUUCAAAUGUUUGUGCCUAAAGGGCUAGAAAACCAGUUUAGACCUAAACCCCCGUGAACAUCAGGUAUUCAGAGCAGUUAGCUCCUUGCGCAUUUGCAGAAGUGAGCUUUAAAGAUGUGACUGCAGUCAGCCAGCAACAAUUUAUGCUUACAUGGGAGAAAAAAGCUUGGCACUGGAACAGUGAAACCAAAAACCUGCAAGAUGAAGAAAAUGUGAGCUUUUCUAAUAUGGAAAAUAAUAGUGAAAAACAGAAUUAGUAUUGGUAUCAGCAGUCAGUAUAGGAGUUCAUAAAAAGUCUCCUCCUGAUAUCAGUCAUGGGUUUUUCAUCUAAGCCAAGAUAGCUUUCAUCCAUCUCACUGACAUGUCCUGCCAGGCUCAGGCUAACUCAGCCUCUGUUUUGGAUAUCAUUGCAGGGAUGUCAGACUUGAGAAAGAAGGCUUCAAAAAUGUUGCAGAUCAUUUCUAAAUACACACACGUGCAAAUCCCCCGUGGCUGGCAGGUAUAGCAUGUCCCUGCAAGCACA